UCUUGUACCAGGAACUUGCUACCACCAGCACCAUGCCCUACCAAUAUCCAGAGCUGACCCCGGAGCAGAAGAAGGAGCUGACUGACAUCACUCACCUCAUCAUGGCCCUGGGCAAGGGCAUCCUGGCUGCAGAUGAGUCCACUGGGAGCAUUGCCAAGCAGCUGCAGUCCAUUGGCACCGAGAACACGGAGGAGAACCGGCGCUUCUACCGCCAGCUGCUGCUGACAGCGGAUGACCGUGUAAAUCCCUGCAUAGGGGGCGUCAUCCUCUUCCAUGAGACACUUUAUCAGAAGGCGGAUGAUGGACGUCCCUUUUCCCAAGUUAUCAAAUCCAAGGUUGGUUUGUGGGCAUCAAGGUAGACAAGGGAGUGGUUACCCCGGGCAGGAACAAAUGGUGAGACCACAACCCAAGGGCUGCAUGGGUAGUCUGAGAGCUGUGCCCAGUACAAGAAGGAUGGCUCUGACUUCGCCAAGAGGCACGUGCUGAAGUGGGGAACACACCCCCCAGCCCUCGCCAUCAUGGAAAAUGCCAAUGCACUGUGCCCAUCGUGGAGCCUGAGAUCCUCCCUGAUGAGGACCAUGACUUGAAACGCUGUCAGUAUGUGACCAAGAAGGGGCUGGCUGUUGUCUACAAGGCUCUGAGCGACCACCAAAUCUACCUGGAAGGCACCCUGCUGAAGCCCAACAUGGUUGCCCCAGGUCAAGCCUGCACCCAGAAGUUUCCUUACGAGGAGACUGCCAUGGCGAUGGUCACAGCACUGCGCCACACAGUUCCCCCACGGUCCCUGGGAUCACCUUCCUUUCUGGAGCCCUAAGUGAGGAGGAGACAUCCAUCAGCCUCAACACCAUUAACAAGUGCCCCCUGCUGAAGCCCUGGGCCCUGACCUUCUCCUACAGCAGGCAGAGCCUUGCAGGCCUCUGCCCUGAAGGCCUGGGGUGGGAAGAAGGAAAACAAGAAAGUGGAGCAGGAGGAGUACAUCAAGCGCGCCCUGGCCAACAGCCUCGCCAGCCAAGGAAAGUACACUCCAAGUGGUCAGGCUGGGGCUGCUGCCAGCGAGUCCCUCUUCAUCUCUAACCACGCCUACUAAGUGAAGGUGUUCCCAGGCUGCCCCCAACACUCCAGGCCCCGCUCCUUCCCACACUCUCUUGAAGAGGGAGCCUCUUACUCUGGGGCUCCAGGCUGGCUU